rnacentral:lncRNA from 1 species
CCACCACCUCCCCCUAACUAUCAAAAAGCUCUUGCUUAAAAAAAACAUGGAUUGGAGAUAAAAAAUAAAAUGAUACUCUUUAAAUAAAUAAAAUAUCCCUCUGCUUCCUGUGAAGGGGAGUUGAGAAAUGGAGUGGUAGGUGGAGAGGCGUGUGUUUAAGACAGAGUUUGUUGUUGUUUAAGACAAAAGAUAGAAUGUUUUUAUGCCAAUAAGAAUGAUUUGGCACAGUGCUGUGAAGGGGUCCAGAACAGAGCACUGUAGCAUAAAAAUUAUUUUCAUCUGAAGGCACUUGAGAAUAGGCUUUUUUCUGAAUUCCCUUAUCUACUUAAAAGCAGAACCUCCCAAAAAAACUCAGCUGUCAUAAAUCCUCUCCACAGGAGUUUUGGGAGUUUUGCAACCAGGAAAGAUUGUCAAGACAUUGUCACAAACUAUCUUGUCUCUCAUCCAUUCGCCUGAUAGAUUUAUUUUUCCUAAAAGUCAUUUGUUUUCCCAUAAGUGUCUUUCCUCUCCUCUUCCCAUGCUAAAGUGGUAUACAAAACCCCAAUUCUAACCUCCUCCUUGAAUCAUGUUUCUGUGAACUCUUGUGCAUACAUAACUAAAAAUCUGUCUUUUCUCUUACUAAUCUGUUUUUUGUCUGUUUAAUACACAGAACUCCAAUUACUUAUUGUAAUAGGGCAGAGGAAAAGUUUUUCCCCCUGAAAAGCUAGAAAAUGAUUCUGUAAGAGUGUCACAGAGCUGACCCCUAGAGCUCUGGAGAAGAACUUGCCUUACAGGGCAGAGAACUACUUGCUGUUUAAAAAUCAGCUCCAACAGGGGGAAGAGGGAAUAAUCGUAGGAGUGAAGUUCUCAGAAGUCUGGAAGGGCAGGAAGGGAUGGAAUCCAGAGCUAGUGCGGGAGAUGCCCUGAGGUAGGAGCAGGAACACUUCUUUCACAGAAACAACAGAGGAGGCAGUGAGCCUGGGAUCAGGUGCAGAGAGUUUGAUCGAUUUGGAAUGCUUGGCUUCUUGGUGCAAGCGCAGAGUAGAGAGCAGCAUUUAACGAGGGCUGGAUGUUCACCAGUUUCCCAUGGAGGAGAUGCACUGUAUGCACUGGAAUUACGUUGCUCAUACCACAAAUGAGGAAACCGCAGAAACCCAUUGGGGCUUGGAUAAGCGAGUCUCAACUGAGGGCUAAAAUGGCCCAGAGGAUGAAACAGAGGCCUCCCCAAGAAGGGAUGACCAGGAUCUGCAGGACAACGUAUACUUUGAAAAAA